rnacentral:sRNA from 1 species
AGUUCUGGGGACAAAUAAGUUUGGUAUGGAUAUCAGGACCAGCCUUCUCAUCCUCCUGUGUGUUUGUUGCCUGUUGACUCUGGAAAUUUGUAGAAGGAGGAGCUGGCAGACACACCAAAAUCUGAAAGAUAUGAGCAUGUUCUGGAGGCAUUAAAUGAUUACAAGACCAUGUUUAUGUCUGGGAAAGAAAUAAAGAAGAAGAAGCAUUUGUUUGGGUUGCGAAUUCGUGUUCCUCCUGUGCCACCAAAUGUGGCUUUCAAAGCAGAGAAAGAACCUGAAGGAACAUCUCAUGAAUUUAAAAUUAAAGGCAGAAAGGCAUCCAAACCUAUAUCUGAUUCAAGGGAAGUAAGCAAUGGCAUAGAAAAAAAAGGAAAGAAAAAAUCUGUAGGUCGUCCACCUGGCCCAUAUACAAGAAAAAUGAUUCAAAAAACUGCUGAGCCACUUUUGGAUAAGGAAUCAAUUUCAGAGAAUCCUACUUUGGAUUUACCUUGUUCUAUAGGGAGAACUGAGGGAACUGCACAUUCAUCCAAUACCUCAGAUGUGGAUUUCACGGGUGCUUCCAGUGCAAAAGAAACUACCUCGUCUAGCAUUUCCAGGCAUUAUGGAUUAUCUGACUCCAGAAAAAGAACGCGUACAGGAAGAUCUUGGCCUGCUGCAAUACCACAUUUGCGGAGAAGAAGAGGUCGUCUUCCAAGAAGAGCACUCCAGACUCAGAACUCAGAAAUUGUAAAAGAUGAUGAAGGCAAGGAAGAUUAUCAGUUUGAUGAACUCAACACAGAGAUUCUGAA